UGUGAUUAUUAAAAAUUUUAGCAUAUUGACUUGCUUGUUUCGUAUAAUAUAUAAUAAGCACAAAUAAAUACAAUAUAUUAAAAAUUUAAUUUAUUUAAUUUUAUUAAUUUAAUAAUAAGUUCUUAUUGUUUAAUUCAAC
rnacentral:misc_RNA from 1 species